GAGGGUGUAGCUCAGUGGUAGAGCAGUUGCCUGGCAUGCACGAGGUGGGGUCCUGGGUUCAAUCCCCAUUACCUCCA
rnacentral:tRNA from 1 species